rnacentral:rRNA from 1 species
AUGCCACCAGGGGGUGGAGAAACAAGCAAGCAUGGCCGCACGGGGAAGGAGCAGAGCCACCCCCCGGCGAUCCGCCGCUGUGACGAGUCCCGUCCCGCGCCGCCGUUCCCCGCCGCGGCUUCUCAGGAGCAGAAGAAGCAGAUGCAGCCGGCGGCGGCUGCGGCGAGCAUCUCGGAGGGCCCCCUUGUCGAGAUCCUGGCGCGGCUGCCCUACCGGUCGCUGUGCCGCUUCAAGUGCGUGUCCAAGCAGUGGCGUGAGCUCUGCUCCGACCCCAAAAUCGUCAAGAGGGCGUCACAGACCCUCUCUGGAUUCUUCCACAACGACCCGGCGGUCGGCAGCCUCCGCUUCAGCAAUCUGUCCGGCGGACGCCCGCUGAUCGACGCCUCGCUCCCUUUCCUGCGCGGGAGAUACCAAAGAAUCAAGCUCGAGCAAUGCUCCACCAGCCUCCUCCUCUGCAAAUGCUGGAAACUGGAAUCGGGACAAGACAAAUUCGAUUUCGUCGUGUGCAAUCCGAUGACCGAGCAGUGGACCGUGCUGCCUCCUAUAGAAUGGCUGGACCAAGACGGUGAAGACACCGAGGGUUCCGAUUUGAUUUAUCCCUUCCUGGUAUUCGACCCGGCCGUUCCGUCUCAUUUCGUGGUGUUUGCACCCCUCCUCGACUUGGUUGACGUUGUGGCAAUAUACUCAUGGGAAACUGGACAAUGGACUCCCAGCAGUGGGUGGGAAUACACAGAGUAUCCUGCCGUUACCAAGGAAUGUGUCUUCCUGAAUGGCAUGAUCCAUUUCUUGCAUUUGUUUGGCGAUGAACCUUUCAUAACUGUACAAGACAUUGAGGGGAGCUUUUCCUGCAAAUUGAUGGCCCCGAUGGAAUGCUAG